rnacentral:lncRNA from 1 species
GGAGAGGGCACUGCAGCUGCCAGCGCAGGAGGAUUCGGGUUUGGGAGCAGCAGCAACACCACAUCCUUCGGCACGCUCGCGAGUCAGAAUGCCCCCACUUUCGGAUCACUGUCCCAACAGACUUCUGGUUUUGGGACCCAGAGUAGCGGAUUCUCUGGUUUUGGAUCAGGCACAGGAGGGUUCAGCUUUGGGUCAAAUAACUCGUCUGUCCAGGGUUUUGGUGGCUGGCGAAGCUGAGGGCGUGUCAGCAGGCUGUUCAGACCGACGUUGCCAUCAAAACACAUACACCCAGAAAGAAACAACAGAAACCAAAACUCACAAGGCGCAUGAUUACUUGUUUUAUAUUUCAUGUUGGGUUUUCCCUCCCACUAUUAAACAGUCUGUUUCCGUACA